rnacentral:misc_RNA from 1 species
AAGUCGUAACAAGGUUUCCGUAGGUGAACCUGCGGAAGGAUCAUUAUUGAAAUAAACCUGAUGGGUUGUUGCUGGUUCUCUAGGGAGCAUGUGCACGCCUUGUCAUCUUUAUAUCUCCACCUGUGCACUUUUUGUAGGCCUUUCAGGUCUAUGUUGCUUCAUUUACCCCAAUGUAUGUCAAUAGAAUGUUGUGCCUAUUUAAUAUAUACAACUUUCAGCAACGGAUCUCUUGGCUCUCGCAUCGAUGAAGAACGCAGCGAAAUGCGAUAAGUAAUGUGAAUUGCAGAAUUCAGUGAAUCAUCGAAUCUUUGAACGCACCUUGCGCUCCUUGGUAUUCCGAGGAGCAUGCCUGUUUGAGUGUCAUUAAAUUCUCAACCAUGACUUUGUUGACAUGGCUUGGAGUUGGGGGUUGCUGGCUUGUUUGUCAGCUCUCCUGAAAUACAUUAGCGGUGGACAAGCAAGGCCUUCCGACGUGAUAAUGAUCGUCGUGGGGCGGAGCAUCAACGUCUGUCUGCUUCUAAAUCCCAGAUGCCUUAGCUAGACAUCAUUUCGAACGCUUGACCUCAAAUCAGGUAGGACUACCCGCUGAACUUAAGCAUAUCAAUAAGCGGAGGAAAAGAAACUAACAAGGAUUCCCCUAGUAACUGCGAGUGAAGCGGGAAGAGCUCAAAUUUUGAAUCUGGCGGUCUUUGGCCGUCCGAGUUGUAAUCUAGAGAA